GACGAUUGAGUGAACGAUUCAAUCAAAAUAUCAAAAAUAGUUAUAAUUUCAAGGAAAAAAAACCCUUUUUUUUGGGGGUUGGGGUUUUGGGGCGGCUGUGUGUGGUUCGGUGUUGGUUUGCUGGGGGGAAGAAGGGUUUUUAAUAAUAAUAAGAAGAAGAAGAAUAUGGUUAAUGUAUGCUCUUGUUGUACGCUAACAGAGAGGGGAUCUAUGAGGAAUCCCUUUUCUUCUAGUAGUGAUGAUACUUGUAGUCAUGUCGAUGUGAUGAUGAUGGUGACGAUCGGAAACUUUGUUAGCUGAUCUUGCACAAAGGUAGAAUUCACAUCCACUUCUUUUCUUUCUGACGAUGUGGGUGGUUGUGGUCAUGUUUUCGGAUCCUGAUGAUGAGCCUGCAGAUGAAGACCAGCUGCUCCAUCUCAUUGCUUGGUGAAAACUAAUAAUUUUAUUCAUUCAAUAAAAAUGACAAACACUUGGAAGACUAUUUACAACUAUGAUGAAAUACAUAUAAGUUCUUCAAUUUGUAAACAAAAAACAAUCAGUCAAGAUACUCAAAGAAUUGGAAAAGCCAAUGCAAAUUGAAACAAAGUACAAUUUUUAAAUAUAUACUUUCUCGAAUUUUUAAACGCCACACAUCCCCAUGGUGAAGAAGGUUAUAGAAAGUACUUAUUAAUAUCGACAUACCACAACGGAAUCCACGAAUUGCAAUUCUAAAGAAUGAAUUCCACAACUGCACUUGUAGAAAAUUCUAUCUAGAAUUAUCAUGUCUACCCCCUUGGCUAAAUUCUUGUAUUUCUAUACUCACCCUUCGCUUGAUAGACUUAGCAUAAUACUUUGAUUUUUCAGGAUUGGCUUGGCAUGGUUCGUGGUCCAAUCCUUACUGGAACUAUUGAAUUCUUUUCCAUUGUUACGGUGGUGGCGAUUAUGAGAUUUAAAAAAAAAAAAAAUUUUAUAAGUUUUAUAGGUGGGGGCACAAAAUAAGAUAAAAAUUAUAAUAAGGGUAAAUUAGGAAUUAAGUGGGGUAUAUUGAGAGAUAAAAAAUAAUUUAAAAUUUUUAAUGGGGUUAAUUGAUAAAUGGGGGUUGGUGAGAUAUAAUAAGGGGGUUAAAUAUCACCACUCUAAAAUAAACACAUCUAUGGGAUUUCAGCCCAUUUUAAUUCUGAUUCCUAUAGGUCAAGUAAACAACUUAUUCUGAUUCUCAUUCUCCAUUCCCAUUCAGCUCAUUUUCAUUCUAUCACAUUCUAAUUCCAGCUCAUUCCGAUUACUGACAAGUAAACACAAUAUUAAUUUAUAUGGUGAAAUCCCUUAAAAAUGAAAUAAAUUUAAGCCUAUGAAUAUGCUUAGGCUUUGCUUGUUAGAAAAUUUGCUACAAAGUACAAAUACAAAUAGAUAAUUGUGGACUAUCUUUUUCCCCCCAAAAAAAAAAGAGAAUAAAAAGAGAGAGAGAAAAUGAUCCUCUUUUCAAUUGUCAUCAUGUAAUUUGGUCAAGCGCGGUGCUGGCAAAUGGCAAUGGCAAUUUGGCAUUGUUUGACUGGUCAAAACCAGUCGGUUUAAACACAACUCUCCCUCUCUUUUCUCGAGGUGGACGGUGCUGUGUCUGUUAUAUAGAUUCAUUGGCAAAGCCAAAGACAAAAAUUAAUUCCUAACAAAAUUAUAUUUUAAUUUUAGGGGAUUUAAUUACUCUUUAAUAUUAAUAUGAUUUAUUUAUCACUUGUUUGCAGGGUAAAUGCUAGUUUAAUUUUUAUAGUUUGGUUUAAGUAUUUAUUUAUUUAUUAUAUUUAAAAAAAUUUAAAGACACUCACGUUGUUAAAUAUUUUACACUUCUAUCUUUAUUUUUUAUCUCAACUUUUACAAAAGUACAUUUACAAUAACCUUGAGACAUUAAUAAAAAGAAAUAAAUAUUAAUUUAUCAAAAUAAACCAAAAAAUAACUAAAAUUUAAUAUAAAAAUUUUGUUAUUAUUUUAAUCUUAAGGUUAAUUUGAUAUUAAUUUGAUCAAUAAAAAUUAAUGUAAAUCGUGUAAAGAUUAUUACAAGUGUAUUAUUAUAAAAGUAAAGAAAAAUAAUAAUAACUAAAGUGUAACAUAUUUAACAAUAAGAAUCUCUUGAGAUACUUUCAAAAUAUAAGAAUUAAAUAGACACUUAACUCAAAAUAUAAGAACUAAACAAGUAUUUAUUCCCUUUUUAUAUCAUAAAUUAUUAAUUAAUUUGAAAUUAUACACAAUUACACAUAACACGAUUAUCAUAAAUCAAUAAGCUAGCUGGCAUAUAUAAGACUUAGCUUUGAUAAACAUCUUGAUAAAAAAAAAUAUUAUUAUUAAUUGUACUUGUCUAUUCUACAUUUCUACUCUAUACAUGUUUGAGAGCAUCGAAGUACGGAACUAUAAAUGUUAAUACGUGGUUGGUAUCCUCCCUAUUCAAGUGUCAAAUUGAUAAUAAUCCAAUAUUGCUAGCUUAGAAAGAAAAAAAAAUGUUCAAGUAUUAUACUCGAUAUAGUUAAUGUGAAUUAUUGCAAUUGGGAAUCAUCACGUGAUGCCAUUAAGACAAAACUCCCCGACCGAGUGAUUAAUUAACUAAAAUCGAAGAAAGAAAGCAAAAGAGAGAGAGACAGAGAGUUGAUUAGAAUUAAUAAAUAAAAUAAAAGCACUUGGACGAUUGAGUGAACGAUUCAAUCAAAAUAUCAAAAAUAGUUAUAAUUUCAAGGAAAAAAAACCCUUUUUUUUGGGGGUUGGGGUUUUGGGGCGGCUGUGUGUGGUUCGGUGUUGGUUUGCUGGGGGGAAGAAGGGUUUUUAAUAAUAAUAAGAAGAAGAAGAAUAUGGUUAAUGUAUGCUCUUGUUGUACGCUAACAGAGAGGGGAUCUAUGAGGAAUCCCUUUUCUUCUAGUAGUGAUGAUACUUGUAGUCAUGUCGAUGUGAUGAUGAUGGUGACGAUCGGAAACUUUGUUAGCUGAUCUUGCACAAAGGUAGAAUUCACAUCCACUUCUUUUCUUUCUGACGAUGUGGGUGGUUGUGGUCAUGUUUUCGGAUCCUGAUGAUGAGCCUGCAGAUGAAGACCAGCUGCUCCAUCUCAUUGCUUG
rnacentral:lncRNA from 1 species